rnacentral:rRNA from 1 species
UACGUAGGGGGCAAGCGUUGUCCGGAUUUAUUGGGCGUAAAGAGCGUGUAGGCGGCCAAACAGGUCCACUGUGAAAACUCGAGGCUCAACCUCGAGAGGUCGGUGGAAACCGUCUGGCUAGAGUCCGGAAGAGGAGAGUGGAAUUCCCGGUGUAGCGGUGAAAUGCGCAGAUAUCGGGAAGAACACCCGUGGCGAAGGCGGGCUCUCGUGGGACGGUACUGACGGCAUGAGAC